rnacentral:rRNA from 1 species
GACGAACGCUGGCGGCGUGCUUAACACAUGCAAGUCGAGCGGAAACGCCCUUCGGGGUACUCGAGCGGCGAACGGGUGAGUAACACGUGAGUAACCUGCCCCAGACUUUGGGAUAACCCUCGGAAACGGGGGCUAAUACCGGAUACGACACAGCUUCGCAUGGGGUCUGUGUGGAAAGUUUUUCGGUUUGGGAUGGGCUCGCGGCCUAUCAGCUUGUUGGUGGGGUGAUGGCCUACCAAGGCGACGACGGGUAGCCGGCCUGAGAGGGCGACCGGCCACACUGGGACUGAGACACGGCCCAGACUCCUACGGGAGGCAGCAGUGGGGAAUAUUGCACAAUGGGCGGAAGCCUGAUGCAGCGACGCCGCGUGAGGGAUGACGGCCUUCGGGUUGUAAACCUCUUUCAGCAGGGACGAAGCGUAAGUGACGGUACCUGCAGAAGAAGCGCCGGCCAACUACGUG